AAACCAACAGGGAUUGCCUCAGUAACGGCGAGUGAAGCGGCAACAGCUCAAAUUUGAAAUCUGGCCCCAGGCCCGAGUUGUAAUUUGCAGAGGAUGCUUCUGGUUAGGUGCCUUCCAAGUCCCCUGGAACGGGGCGCCGAAGAGGGUGAGAGCCCCGUCCGGUUGGCCGCCAAGCCUGUGUGAAGCUCCUUCGACGAGUCGAGUAGUUUGGGAAUGCUGCUCUAAACGGGAGGUAGACCCCUUCUAAAGCUAAAUAUUGGCCAGAGACCGAUAGCGCACAAGUAGAGUGAUCGAAAGAUGAAAAGCACUUUGAAAAGAGGGUUAAAAAGUACGUGAAAUUGUUGAAAGGGAAGCGCUUGUGACCAGACGUGUGCCGGGGUGUUCAGCGGGCGUUCUCGCCCGUGCACUCGCCCCGGUACAGGCCAGCGUCGGUUCGCGCGGGGGGACAAAGGCGUUGGGAACGUAGCUCCUCCGGGAGUGUUAUAGCCCAGCGUGCCAUGCCCCCGCGCGGACCGAGGUUCGCGCUCCGCAAGGACGCUGGCGUAAUGGUCUCCAGCGGC
rnacentral:rRNA from 1 species